rnacentral:rRNA from 1 species
GACGAACGCUGGCGGCGUGCCUAACACAUGCAAGUCGAACGGAGAGUUAGCAAUAACUCUUAGUGACGAACGGGUGAGUAACGCGUGGGCAACCAACCUUUUUGUGGGGGACAACACUUCGAAAGGAGUGCUAAUACCGCAUACGUUCCAGAGGUCGCCUGAUCUUUGGAAGAAAGGAGCUUUACGGCUUCGCAGAAAGACGGGUCUGCGUCUGAUUAGCUAGUUGGAGGGGUAACGGCCCACCAAGGCGACGAUCAGUAGCCGGUCUGAGAGGAUGGACGGCCACACUGGGACUGAGACACGGCUCAGACUCCUACGGGAGGCAGCAGUGGGGAAUCUUCCGCAAUGGACGAAAGUCUGACGGAGCGACGCCGCGUGAGUGAUGAAGGCCCUUGGGUCGUAAAGCUCUGUCAUCGGGGACGAACGGCUUUAUCAGGAAAUGGGCAAAGAUUGACGGUACCCGAGAAGGAAGCCACGGCUAACUACGUGCCAGCAGCAGCCGCCG